rnacentral:rRNA from 1 species
GACAGAGGGUGCCAACGUUGUUCGGAAUUACUGGGCGUAAAGCGCGUGUAGGCGGCUUGAGCAAGUCGGGUGUGAAAGCCCCAGGCUCAACCUGGGAAGUGCAGUCGAUACUGCGGAGCUGGAGUCCCGGAGAGGGUGGUGGAACUCUCGGUGUAGAGGUGAAAUUCGUAGAGAUCGAGAAGAACACCGGUGGCGAAGGCGGCCACCUGGACGGAGACUGACGCUGAGAAGCGAAAGCGUGGGGAGCAAACAGG